UCCAUCGGACGAAAUCGGAAAUUGUUGCGAGUGACAACUCAAUGUAAGUGCUGGCUGGCCGAAGAUCUUGCAUGCAUGCAGCUUUCCUCCAAAAGACUAAGGACUCCCAUUCAUUUGGAGCAGGAGCUGGGACUCGAAAAGCAAAUCCAGCAGCAGUCUGCGGCCCAAGAUAACGAGGUGGCUGGAUACAAAGGAAACAAAACUGCAC